UACGUAGGGUGCAAGCGUUGUCCGGAAUUAUUGGGCGUAAAGAGCUCGUAGGCGGUCUGUUGCGUCGGCUGUGAAAACCCGGGGCUCAACUCCGGGCCUGCAGCCGAUACGGGCAGACUAGAGUUCGGCAGGGGAGACUGGAAUUCCUGGUGUAGCGGUGAAAUGCGCAGAUAUCAGGAGGAACACCGGUGGCGAAGGCGGGUCUCUGGGCCGAUACUGACGCUGAGGAGCGAAAGCGUGGGGAGCGAUCAGG
rnacentral:rRNA from 1 species